rnacentral:misc_RNA from 1 species
CUUGGUGUGUGAAUUCCCGAAACAUCGGGAUAAGCGACGUCAUAUUCAUCCUGAGGAUAAUCAAGCUGCAGCGGAUGAUAAACCGAUGGACGAUUUGUAUGCACAGGCCGAUCGUAAUUCCAUGUCUGUGAAGACUCAUAAAUGGUUGUUGGUUUGUUUGCGAUGUCUGCGUACAGGUAGCUCGUCCCGUGCUCGUUCUGACCGCUAUACGUCGGUUUGCUCGGCCUUGCCGCGUUGUCGUAGAUUUGCACGUCAUCGUCCACAUAGGGAUGUUGAUUUCCCAAGUUUAACGAAAGUGCUUAGCAUUUUGCAGUAGCCCGAUCGUCGGUCGUGGUACUUUGUCGGGGAUGUCAUCGUCGUCGACGCAACAGCUCCAUAUCAAUCCUCCGGAACAGAGAUCGACCGGACGACCACCUCCGAGAACGCAACUAAUACUAAGGCCACAAUCGAAUGUCGUUC